rnacentral:rRNA from 1 species
GAUGAACGCUGGCGGCGUGCUUAACACAUGCAAGUCGAACGGAGAUAUCAUUUUCGAAGCGAUUAGUUUACUAAGAGUAGAGAAGAUAUCAUCUUAGUGGCGGACGGGUGAGUAACGCGUGGGUAACCUGCCUUACACUGGGGGAUAACACUUAGAAAUAGGUGCUAAUACCGCAUAAUAGGAGAAGACGCAUGUCUUAUCCUUGAAAACUCCGGUGGUAUACGAUGGAUCCGCGUCUGAUUAGCUUGUUGGCGGGGUAACAGCCCACCAAGGCGACGAUCAGUAGCCGGCCUGAGAGGGUGAACGGCCACAUUGGGACUGAGACACGGCCCAAACUCCUACGGGAGGCAGCAGUGGGGAAUAUUGCACAAUGGGGGAAACCCUGAUGCAGCGACGCCGCGUGAGUGAAGAAGUACCUCGGUACGUAAAGCUCUAUCAGCAGGGAAGAAAAUGACGGUACCUGACCAAGAAGCCCCGGCUAACUACGUGCCAGCAGCCGCGGUAAUACGUAGGGGGCAAGCGUUAUCCGGAUUUACUGGGUGUAAAGGGAGCGUAGACGGCAGCGCAAGUCUGGAGUGAAAUCCCGGGGCUCAACCCCGGAACUGCUUUGGAAACUGCGCGGCUCGAGUGCAGGAGGGGCAGGCGGAAUUCCUAGUGUAGCGGUGAAAUGCGUAGAUAUUAGGAGGAACACCAGUGGCGAAGGCGGUCUGCUGGACAGCAACUGACGCUGAGGCGCGAAAGCGUGGGGAGCAAACAGGAUUAGAUACCCUGGUAGUCCACGCUGUAAACGAUGGAUACUAGGUGUGGGGGGACUGACCCCCUCCGUGCCGCAGUUAACACAAUAAGUAUCCCACCUGGGGAGUACGAUCGCAAGGUUGAAACUCAAAGGAAUUGACGGGGGCCCGCACAAGCGGUGGAGUAUGUGGUUUAAUUCGAAGCAACGCGAAGAACCUUACCAGGGCUUGACAUCCCGAUGACCGGCAUAGAGAUAUGCUUUUCUCUUCGGAGACAUCGGUGACAGGUGGUGCAUGGUUGUCGUCAGCUCGUGUCGUGAGAUGUUGGGUUAAGUCCCGCAACGAGCGCAACCCUUAUUGUUAGUUGCUACGCAAGAGCACUCUAGCGAGACUGCCGUUGACAAAACGGAGGAAGGUGGGGACGACGUCAAAUCAUCAUGCCCCUUAUGUCCUGGGCCACACACGUACUACAAUGGUGGUCAACAGAGGGAAGCAAUACCGCGAGGUGGAGCAAAUCCCUAAAAGCCAUCCCAGUUCGGAUCGCAGGCUGCAACCCGCCUGCGUGAAGUUGGAAUCGCUAGUAAUCGCGGAUCAGCAUGCCGCGGUGAAUACGUUCCCGGGCCUUGUACACACCGCCCGUCACACCAUGAGAGUCGGGAACACCCGAAGUCCGUAGCCUAACCGCAAGGGGGGCGCGGCCGAAGGUGGGUUCGAUAAUUGGGGUG